CGAAGAUGGGCAAAAAAGGAACUGUGGGGCAGUAUAAAUUAGGCCUUCUGCUUUCAUCAACAAAGCUCCGUUAGCUCAGAAACAAAGAAUUAGGGCCACAGAGACAUUGGGGAUUUCUUCAAGGGUGGUUACCCCUCUCUGUUUACCCAAUGAUUUCUUCAUUCUCAAAAACUAACAGCCCUUAAAGAGAAAGCAGAAAGCAGAGGAGAAGCUUUUCUUCCACACAUACAUUCCCACAACUAUUCAAUCAUUCUAUCUAUCUUUCGUAAGUACGAGCGCUCAGAUUUAGAUCUUGUUUGGCUAAGCUUAAAAUUUUUACUUACAAGGGCAUCUUUCGAAGACUCUACGGUUUAUUCAACACUCGUUUCAGACAACAUUAUUCAUAGUGCUUGUCUGGUAGAAAUUAUGAUGGAUCUGUGAAAUUAAUUUGUUGAACACAAAGGGGGCUGUGAUGAUUUUUCCUUAAUUUUGUUCUGAGCUAAUGGAUCAGGCAUUGAGAUAAUUCAAUUCGUAUCUUGGCACGGCAACUUCGGAUGGCGUUGUGAUUAGAGUUUCUUCAUCACACGCAACCACUGAUUGCAGCCAUGGCGAUGUGGGCGUUCUCUUUGCCUGUUUAUCAUUCACAGAUCUGAGCGUCGACUCAAUUUUUCAAUUUUCUUCCAAAUUUUCUAUUUUGUUUUCUAAAAGUGAGUAAUUUUGCCAGUUAAUUAGAAUUUGAGCGUUAGAACUAUUAAUUUCAAACAAUGGUAACAUUUGCGUGGUAUCCGGAAAAUUUUCGAU
rnacentral:lncRNA from 1 species